rnacentral:rRNA from 1 species
UACGAAGGGUGCAAGCGUUACUCGGAAUUACUGGGCGUAAAGGGUGCGUAGGUGGUUGUUUAAGUCUGCUGUGAAAGCCCCGGGCUCAACCUGGGAAUGGCAGUGGAUACUGGACAGCUAGAGUGCGGUAGAGGGUAGUGGAAUUCCCGGUGUAGCAGUGAAAUGCGUAGAUAUCAGGAGGAACACCGGUGGUGUAGACGGCUUUCUGGACCGUAACUGACGCUGAGACACGAAAGCGUGGGUAGCAAACAGG